rnacentral:rRNA from 1 species
AACGAACGCUGGCGGCAUGCCUAACACAUGCAAGUCGAACGAGACCUUCGGGUCUAGUGGCGCACGGGUGCGUAACGCGUGGGAACCUGCCCUUAGGUUCGGAAUAACUCCCCGAAAGGGGUGCUAAUACCGGAUAAUGUCUUCGGACCAAAGAUUUAUCGCCUUUGGAUGGGCCCGCGUUGGAUUAGCUAGUUGGUAGGGUAAAAGCCUACCAAGGCGACGAUCCAUAGCUGGUCUGAGAGGAUGAUCAGCCACACUGGGACUGAGACGCGGCCCAGACUCCUACGGGAGGCAGCAGUGGGGAAUAGUGGACAAUGGGCGAAAGCCUGAUCCAGCAAUGCCGCGUGAGUGAUGAAGGCCUUAGGGUUGUAAAGCUCUUUUACCCGGGAUGAUAAUGACAGUACCGGGAGAAUAAGCCCCGGCUAACUCCGUG